rnacentral:rRNA from 2 species
GGGAAGAACAAGUGCGAGAGUAACUGCUCGCACCUUGACGGUACCUAACCAGAAAGCCACGGCUAACUACGUGCCAGCAGCCGCGGUAAUACGUAGGUGGCAAGCGUUGUCCGGAAUUAUUGGGCGUAAAGGGCUCGCAGGCGGUUUCUUAAGUCUGAUGUGAAAGCCCCCGGCUCAACCGGGGAGGGUCAUUGGAAACUGGGAAACUUGAGUGCAGAAGAGGAGAGUGGAAUUCCACGUGUAGCGGUGAAAUGCGUAGAGAUGUGGAGGAACACCAGUGGCGAAGGCGACUCUCUGGUCUGUAACUGACGCUGAGGAGCGAAAGCGUGGGGAGCGAACAGGAUUAGAUACCCUGGUAGUCCACGCCGUAAACGAUGAGUGCUAAGUGUUAGGGGGUUUCCGCCCCUUAGUGCUGCAGCUAACGCAUUAAGCACUCCGCCUGGGGAGUACGGUCGCAAGACUGAAACUCAAAGGAAUUGACGGGGGCCCGCACAAGCGGUGGAGCAUGUGGUUUAAUUCGAAGCAACGCGAAGAACCUUACCAGGUCUUGACAUCCUCUGACAACCCUAGAGAUAGGGCUUUCCCUUCGGGGACAGAGUGACAGGUGGUG